GUGAAGAUAGCUCAGUGGUAGAGCGCUUGCCUUGCAUGCAUGAGGUCCUGGGUUCGAUUCCUCAGCACC
rnacentral:tRNA from 1 species